rnacentral:misc_RNA from 1 species
UACAGGUAUGAAUCGAGAGAUUCACGUACCGUUGCGUGAGAGCCCGAGGAUGAAAUUCCCUUGGGCUACUCGAC